UCUAAAUAUUUUGCUCACAGAUCAUUAUUAACAUUCUGUAUAUAAUUCAAUUUUAUUUACUCUCCCCUUUUUAUUAUUUUUAUUUUUAUUUUUAGCUGAAAAGACGUAAAGGCAGUCAGCCCAGUGGUGUUUCUGGAGAGGGAUUCCUUCAGAAAUGGAGAAGACAGAAAGCUGCGGAGGCAGAUAUAUGCAGCAGUCUAAAAUAUCAAGCUCAACAGCUCACUCAAGAGCCAACCCUCACAAACCUUCCUAAAAACUAAAAGAGCUAUUACUGAGUCUCAGCGAAUCUUGCCAUGAUCAGCUCUUCCCAGAAGAGAAGGAAGACCAAGGAAAUGAUUUGCUCAGGAUGAGGAAUGAAGAUGGCCAUCUUGAGCUCAAACAAACAGAAGUCCUCUG